AGCAGAUUUAUUUUAUUCCCACUGAUGAAGAACUGUGAUCCUACCUCUGGGUGUUUAGAAAGGAAAAGAGGGUGCAUAGUUUUGAGUAAUUUUACUGGGUCACAAUUGAUCAACAAACAAAUAUCCUCCAUAUAAUUUACAUGAAGCUGCCUUUAUCACCAUUUAAAGCACAGCAUUUUAAAUGCCUGUUGCUCGGCAUAACAGACUCUUUGUAUCAUUUGCAUCUUGUCAUCUAAUCUGCCCCUGCCAUUGUACUUCUGCAGACAUGUAAAAUAAGAUUACUGAAACAUGUUACCCGAGGCUCAUGUAAGUAUACCGGGCAUUUUAAUAUUGUUUACAGCUCACUACUUGAAACAGGAGAGCACAAAUCAUUAGACUGCUUUUGUCACCAGAUGAAGGAAAAUACUUGGACUUGAGAAAGCCGGUAAAGGUAGAAGGAAAUAUGUAUUGAGCGUCCAAGGGCCAUCAUGGAACUCUGUGCAUAGGAUGGUUUAUCCAGAACGCAGUCGUUUUCCAGCACUCUCUCAUCAACUUCAGUGGUGCCUGGGCAUCAGAAUCAGCUCUUGUUUUUAGUUUUCAUUGUGAACCGUGAAGAAGCAGAGGAAGAAUGAAGAGAGAAAAUGCACAAAAAAAAGUAUUAGAACAAAAAAGCAAUUUAAGAAAAACUGGAUUGCAAUUUAAGCCAAACUGGAUGACAGUUUUUUUCCCCCACACUUCCUUUUUUUUCAGACACUCGGGUGAGCAGUCAGGAGAGACUAAUGUCAAAUGUCAAUUUGAGCCCUUGCAGAUUCUCAGAUGUAUGAAUUCCUGUCCAGGAUAAUUCUGUGGGGUUUCUUCAAAAGGUAUUUGUCAUCAUCAGUUGCCUCACACCCUGGCUAUGUGCUCUGCAGACCUUUUGUAUUUCAUUUGAAAUGUAACACAUCGCUGGCACAUCGCAAGGGCAAACAGAUGUCUAAUUUAUUCAGGAUGGUUGUGUGUGUGUGUGUGUGUGUUUUUUUUUCUUCAAGAAUGAAAAAAGAGAAGAAGGAAAGGGAGGAGAAAGGUCAAACCGGUUUCUCAGAGGAGCAGAGAAGACAAGAGGAGUACUGUCUAUUGGCAGAGCUUGCCCGCAUUGAGCAGGAGCUCAGAGAAAAGUCUCGCAAAGAGCUGGAGAGACAGGAGGCCCUGGAGAGAGCGCGCAGUGAGGCGAACCGUGACAGGUGGAGGAACCUCAGCUAUAUGGCCCUCAGCCAACGCGUGAACAAGCCAUGGGUGUUCAGUUAUUUUAAGAACAUUCCCAUGCACAUUUACUGCCAGCCUAUCAGAAGACCGCCCCAGGUCCGACACCGCAAGAAGUGGCGAUAAUCAGUGUAGCCUGGACAGAGCGCUGAGCUGUCCUGCUGCUGGCUGAGGACAUGGCUGUGUGCAUCUUCAUCAGAACGGUUAUGGCCCUUUUCAAACCUGUUUGCACUCUAAAACAAAGUAGCAUUAGAAGGUUCUGCUUACUAGAAUCUUAAAAAAGUCAGAACAGACCCUCAUUUGCUUGAAUAUUGAAAAUCAUAUAAAUAGACCUAAAAUUGUGAGUCUUUAAUUUUGUGCCAUUUCCAGCUCACUGUAGUCAUUUUAUAUAUUUUUUU
rnacentral:lncRNA from 1 species